rnacentral:lncRNA from 1 species
CGUUUAUUUCCGUAAUACCUUACAAUGAACAAAGGACUUUUCUUUAACCGAGUAAAAAGGUGGAAACAUUUUAAUGACUGUUGAGAUGAGCACCUCAUUACCAAAUCUACAGCCAAUUCAGUGUGGACAGCUUCUGUUUAGAAGGCAGCUUGUUGGAGCCAGGCUGUGCUCUGUGCUUUGAGAGAUCCCGCUUACAGACAGCACUCCUUCCUUUAAGUAGCACUAACUUUCUCGUCUGCCUCAAGCAAUUCUUUGGGAUGUCACACAUCAAAACACAGUUUUCUUCAUUCAUCCUAAUAGGUAGCAAAGAGUUCAGAGUUUUUAGGUUCAGAGGCUGAUGUAGUCUUGUUUUGACCUUUCUCAACAGGCUGAAUGCCCUGCAGUGCUCUGCACUGGAGUGUGGUGAGCACAGCAGAAUCCACGUCAAUCUCAUGAGGAGAGGCAGCACAUCUGAGAUGCACCACAGCUUAACAGCACUACCCCAGUAUCUUAAAAUCUGAUGUUGCAGCCCAUUUGCUGCAAUGCACUUGACAGAGGUACAUAUCCUCACCAUCAUUUUGAAGAUGAAGGAGUUGAGACAGGAUAAGCUGUUGUCACUGGUCCACUGUCACAGCACCAGGGUUUGGAAGAGCAGAGCUUGUCUUAUACCAGUUCAAACUUCUCAAAGUCAAAAUCAAAAUAAUGACAAAACACAUUUUCUUCCAACUCAGUGGGAGCUUUUUCACUGACCUGCCACUCUGAGAUAUGACAAACCUUGAAUAAGUCAAAAGGAUAAGAAGUGAGAAAGUAGAUGAAGAGUAUAUAAGGUGAAGUAAAAUGUGAAUAAGAAACAAAAAGCAUCCGUAGAUUUACAAAUGAAGUUAAAGACCUCUAAGAAAAGUAGCCAUAUCAUCCGUUUUAGAGAACUCCUGCCAUCCACAUGAGGUGUGAUGCACUGUUUCACUCCUCAGCUGCUGAUGGCCUCUUGUCCAAACAGUGGAGAGCUGCACAACUCAUCUAUCCCUCAUCUAUCAGGUCAUGAAAAAUAUUGCCCAUUAUGGCAAAGGCAUAUUUGCUUGGAUGAUAAGACUUAUACGGGUCCUAGUUACACCAUCAUCUGCAUCAACACGCAGCAUUUUUGCCAGGAGCAAAGAGGGCAGCAGCUUACAAGCAAAAAUCAGUUGUUCUGGAAGACCUGCCUUUCAAAAGUUAGGAGCAUGAGUUCCCUGUACUAUCAGUAGAAGUUUUAAAAAAGGUGGGGGUAAGGAAGAACCAUAGUCUAAGUUAUACAUCUUAUGUUAGAUGAUUUUGUAUUAACUAUAGAGUGCAAAAACACAACUGAAAAACUCUGAGUUUGCUGCUUGUUCUGCAAUCUCAUUAAUCACUUUUAUUUAAACAUGAGCAGCUUAAGGUUAGCUAUGCUUCGUCUGCUGUGCACUGGCCAUUGAGACAGUAAAUGUUUGGGGAUCUCUGCACAUUUUCUUACUUUUAAGGAAACCCAGAUGUAAGCAAAGGGGAGAGAAUGUAAACCCCAGAGAGCCAGACAGUCUCUGUCAAGUGCCAGCUAAGCAGCCUGUGGUGCUUCUGGGCUGCUCUGCUUUAUGCCACCCAGCACGGAGCGCACAACCUGACAAUGCAGCCCACCCCCAGGUUGACCAACCAGCUGAAUUGCUCUCCCUGUGGGGCUCAGAUAUCAUAACCACAGACAUUAUUGCUAAAUAGUCAGCAAAAUUCCAUUUGCAGUGUAAAGUAUCUGACAGUUAGUAUUUCGGAGCUGUAUAUUGCUUGAAUAGAAACCAAAAUUACUCUAUAUGAUAAAGUUAAUGGUGUACAGUUUGUAAGUUAGUUAUAACAACACCUCAAGCAUUUCUACAAAACUUAAUUUAAUAUUCCAACUCAUUAAAAAUCUUAUUACAGAAACCACUUACAGGCUUUAUAAACACAUUUUUAUAUUAUUAGGGAAGGAUCUUAAUAAAGAACAAUUUGAAUGCAGAAAUGCACAUGUAGAGUAAAUUGCUUAUAGUAAAACUAGCUAAACAAAAUUUGCUGUCAGCAAACCUCCUGACUAGUUUCUUCAUCUGCUUUACAAAUGUGCUAUGUUUCAGUGUAUCUAGACCUUUCCUAAUAGAAAGUGCGUACCAGAGAAUUCCAGCAACUGAGAUAAAGGUGCAAACAUUGGCCUUAAUGCUGCCCUGUGAGCCAAAAUAUCCCAGAGCAGUCAAUGACGAGUACUUGGAGUUGAUUAUGACAAUGAAUGUAACUCCCAUCUCUAGAAAUUUCUCUCUUUCAAGCUGCACCAAUUAUUUAAUAGUAAAAAUUAAAAACGAUAUUGAAUCUUUGGACAAACCUCAACAGCGUCUCUCAUAGAAAACCAGUGUUGAUCUACUUAUAAUAUCAUUUGUUACAUUUAGCUACUGUUUUAUUAUAUUUACUAAUUAUCAUCAUACUGUGACAUCUCAUGGUGAUAUACCAGCAAAAUUAAUCAUUAAAAGAAUUACCUGAAAGCAAGUAUAUUUCAUCUACAUAAUGGUUUUUUAAACUAAAGCAAUAGACUGGUAGUGACUUAAUGGUUGGUUUGCAAUCAGAGUAAGAACCAACUCUGUUAUACAUCAUCUGCAUUCUUCAUGAGCAUUGCUGUUGUUGCUUUUCACAUUAUGUAAAUUGUAGAAACCUGUAAGAUUUGAAUCUUCUGUGGCAGAUAUUUUUAUUCUUAUGUUUUAAAUUUUGUGCACUCGCAGCCUCAAAUAGGUAUAAUUUCAAAUCUCUAUAAAUAACAUAAUUUGUUGUUUUCAGUAACACUUAAAAUGUUAAUCUGCAGAUCCCUAUCUUAAUGAAUUAGUAGUGUUUUCUAUGUACAAAAUAAAUGCAAAAGGUCAGCUUAUUAUCCAAAAAACUACUGUGAAGUGAGAGAAUUAAUUUUGUUUUUCUGCUGAAACUGCAUGCAAUCACAGAGGUUCAUAUGGGUGAAGUAUUAUUAAGUUCUGUUCACUGACACAUACCACAAAAUACAAAAAAAGAGCUAAGAAGUACAGGCCACUGAAAUUACUCCUACAUGCAAUCAGGUUGUUUAAAAAAUAGGCUUUCUAGACAUUUUGACGGCAGACCCAUAGCUGCGGUUAAUCCUCCAUUUAUCCCUGCUCCUCUCUACAGGGGUGUACUUGUGAGCCUGCUGGAGCCAAGUCUCGCUCCCCUAGAGCAGCAGAGCACAAGGGGCACAAGCCCCCUCCAUGAGGCAGGUUCAAAGUGGCAGCUGUGGAAAGGUCACCUGAGCCAGAGAUACAGAAGGAGAGCCUGCUUCUGUUCAUCUCUCAUGGUGGCAGGGAGGGGCAUGAAGGGAUGGGAAGGAGUGGGGCUUCUGGGAACUGAGUCAAGGAUAGAGAAGACAGUGGGUUACGUAGUUAUUAAUAUGCCAUUAUUACGAAAACACUGAACCAGGAAGCAAGAUUCACUAGAGAGAAUACAGGGAGGAACCAGGAACACAUGGCCACACGUACAACAGCCACAGCCUACCUGCAUUAGUUCUCUCUUUACCUUCCUCCAUUUUCAAAACCCAGUGCUCACCAGCAAGCUGUGGGUGUACAGAGCUUCGACCGCUUUGACUGCCUGGUGUACAUCUGGUCCCAUUCUUCCCUUCCAGCCUAGAAGCACCUGAGGUCCUCACUCAUGACCACCAGUGAGUCCACACCCAGAGCAAAAUUCAAAAUUUGUAAUUCAUAGCUUUCUUCCUUACUACCAUGCAUGAGGAUGAGGGAUCAACAGAGGUGGCUGCCUUGUCUCAUAUGUGCCUGCCUCAUCUCAAAGCUGCAAGCCCUUCAGCCAGGAUCCCUCUCACAUCUCAGGAGAUCAAAAAGCUGCAGAAGAUGUCACAGAUGACUUCUGGAGGUUUUCUGCAGGGAGAACAGGUAGCUGAUGCAAUGAAGAGUGAUGUGAAAACAUGGCCAAGCUCUCUGAGGGCUUCUGUUGUCCCUAAGCUGUCAUUGCUUUGCAGUUUAACUCCUCAGAUGGCUCAGAACUACACAGUCAUUCCCUCACUCCUCAUCUUCACAGUGGGAUGGGGCAGAGAACUGAAAAGAAAACAACAUAGAACUUGUGGGAUAAAACUAUUUGCUGAGAUAGAGAAAAAGAAAAGAAUAAUACUUACGACUAUAUAUACGUACAUAUAUAUAUCUUACAUUUAUAUAUAUAUCUUGUCAAGUAUAUGUAUAUAUAUACUUGUCUAUGACAAGUGACGCUCAAAAAAUGGCUCACCACCCAACAGCUGAUGCCCAACAAGCCCCUUGAGCAGUGGAAGAGAGUGAAAUGAGCUUCCACUCCCUUUAAAAUUCCUUCUGCUUGAUGUCAUAUGGUAUGGAAUAUCCUUUUGGCCAGUCUAAGUCAACUGUCCUAAUUCUCUACCCUCUCAGCUCCUUGGGCCCUUCACUGUGAGUGGCCUUGGCUCUGUACAGCACUGCUUAACAGCAGCUAUAAACAUCAGCGUGUUAUCAACAUUGUUUUUCUCCUAGAAUCAAAACAUAGCAUCAUACCAGACACUAUGAAGAAAACAAUUUAAUCCCAGCUGAAACUAAGACACAUUGUCACUUCACACUAACCCAAACACCCCAAGAAAACAUUUCUACAGUAUUUAGUUGCACUUCAUGCCUGGCUGUGUGUUACACAGUCUGUAAGGAAUAAAGAAAUCCAGUCAUGUUUAGCUCUGUUCUCUCCUUGGCCUUUCUAAGCUCUCCUCAUCCAUAGCAAUCUAAACUUGAGGGAUGAUGAGAUGCCAAUUGGGUAUGGCACUAACAACAGGAAACCUUUUCCUUGUGAGAGACUCCUUCUGCCCAGGACAUGGGCAGUCCUACAGAUGGUCUGUGUGGGCCAUGUGGGCUGCACACCACCUAGUCCUUGAGAUUCCUUGCAGACCUUCCUGAGGAGCACGUGUAGACUGCAAGUUUGAUGUGUAGCACAGGUGGACUUCUGCCAUUGUGCCUGUAACCCCCUACUCCAGAGGAAAGGAAGGGGAGAGGACUUGCUCUAGAACAAAUUUGACUGUACUGUUUGUCUGGGAUUUUUUAUUUUUAUUUUUUAUUUAUUUUGCGAUGUGUUCCAGUAUUGCUUCUUUUUCAAAUAAAUUUGGGAAGUGAGUAUGGUAUUUCACAGUCCUGUGUCAUUUCAUCAUCUUCUAGCACAUUUGCUCAUGACCCUUUCAUUUACUGCAGGAGAAGUUCUUGCAUUUACAAGUAUAGAAGACUUUAAAAGAAUGGAUAUUUUUUUAUCUUUUCAAUAUCUA